rnacentral:rRNA from 1 species
GAUGAACGCUGGCGGCGUGCCUAAUACAUGCAAGUCGAGCGAACAGACGAGGAGCUUGCUCCUCUGACGUUAGCGGCUGACGGGUGAGUAACACGUGGAUAACCUACCUAUAAUACUGGGAUAACUUCGGGAAACCGGAUCUAAUACCGGAUAAUAUAUUGAACCGCAUGGUUCAAUAGUGAAAGACGGUUUUGCUGUCACUUAUAGAUGGAUCCGCGCCGCAUUAGCUAGUUGGUAAGGUAACGGCUUACCAAGGCAACGAUGCGUAGCCGACCUGAGAGGGUGAUCGGCCACACUGGAACUGAGACACGGUCCAGACUCCUACGGGAGGCAGCAGUAGGGAAUCUUCCGCAAUGGGCGAAAGCCUGACGGAGCAACGCCGCGUGAGUGAUGAAGGUCUUCGGAUCGUAAAACUCUGUUAUUAGGGAAGAACAAAUGUGUAAGUAAAUAUGCACGUCUUGACGGUACCUAAUCAGAAAGCCACGGCUAACUACGUG